rnacentral:misc_RNA from 1 species
GUGUGUUUGAGAUGUGUUUCUAUCAAAAUUUUGUGUUGCUUUCUCAUUGAUUGCUAUUUUAAGUUUGUAUUAUUUUUCCAUAUAUGUAUGUUCUAUCUGCUAAGAAUUAGGCAAAGCUGGUAAUUCAAAGUCUUUUCCGUAGCUAGCAUUGAAAUAUGGGGAAGUAAUGUUAAACCCUUUCCUUCUCUAUUAAUGAUCAGUUCGCUUUUUAAAAGUUUGACAAUGUCCUCCCUCUUAAUCUAGAGCUUUAAUUUUUCUGCAUUUUAUUCUUUUAGAACAACUUGCUCCUGGAAG